CUCUUUCUCGAUUCAGUGGAUGGUGGUGCAUGGCCGUUCUUAGUUGGUGGAGUGAUCUGUCUGGUUAAUUCCGAUAACGAACGAGACUCUCCCCUGCUAACUAGUCGGUUGGAUCUUGAUCAGCGGGUUGCGUGCCGAGUAACUCUCGCUGUGCGGGUGGUGCGUCUCGGGCCUCACGGUUCGUUGCGUGCUCUCGUGUGGCGUUGGAUGCCUUGGAUCACACUGCACCCCAAGUCYGCCGCUUAUGCUAUAACUCUUCUUAGAGGGAUUCACGGCACUGAAGCCGUAAGAGACUGAGAGCAAUAACAGGUCUGUGAUGCCCUUAGAUGCUCUGGGCCGCACGCGCGCUACAAUGCCGGGCACAGCAGGUGUUUCUCCUGCUCCGACAGGAGCGGGUAACCCUCUGAAAGCCAGUGUUCUUGCAAGUGAUUCCUCCCUCGUGGAGUUUCACAGAGGCGUGCUUGGGCCUGGGACUUGCAAUUCUUUCCCACCAACGAGGAAUGCCUAGUARCGGCGGGUCACUGAGCCCGCUGUGACUCAGUCCCUGCCCUUUGUACACACCGCCCGUCGCUACUACCGAUUGGGUGUACCAGUGAGAGCCUUGGACUGGCGUCCGUUGUUGCUCGCAAGAGUGACAAGCGGGUCCGACGGAAAGAGGUCCGAACUGGUGCACUUAGAGGAAGUAAAAGUCGUAACAAGGUUUCCGUAGGUGAACCUGCGGAAGGGAUCA
rnacentral:rRNA from 1 species